GGUGGUUUUGGUGAUGUGAUUCCACCCUUUGCCCCAUUUGUAUAGAAGCUAGGUUAUUGUGCUAUGCUUUGUAAUGUUUUCCUCAGCUUGACCCGUGCCUUUAGAAAGUCUACUAUAUUUGGCUAUGUACACCGCUAUGGAUAUUAUUGUUGAGUUUAAUAAUUUGAGCAGCAUAAUAAUCUAUGAUUUUAGCAUUGUUCUUCAUCUGGCUUCCUGCUGUUGAUAUAAAUUAUGGUUCUGUUCAUGUAGCUUCAGGCUUUUGCAUUCCCUUCUUCCAAUUAGAAGCUCUUGUAAUUCGUAAGCAGUGAAAGAAUAAUAUUAUGUUUCCUUGUCAACAACUUUUGCUCUGAAUGAUUUUUCCAACCAUCUCAAUCCUUCUGUUGUGACUUAAUUUUAACAUCUGCAUUCAGCCUGCUACGCGGAGUAUGUAUUGUGGAGGAAUAUUGUUAUGGUACAAGACUAAGUACAAGGAAUGCUGCACCUUGUCAAAAUAUGCUGCUGUUACUAGAAAUACAUACCCUUCCUCAGUACAAAACAUGUGAGCGCAUGAAAAUAGAGCAAGAGUGGUUAUUAAAGUUAUGUAUUUUCAUUCAGUUCACACUUGUUAUAUGGUCUUGCUUUAGACUUCAGCACUGAUACUAUGAAAUAAUGCUGUGGUUAAUGUCUAUGUUUACCGUGUCUUUUCAGUUCUUGGAUUUUAAUACAACAUGUUGCUACAAUAUUUUUUGGUAUAUUGUGUUCUUUUUCUUCUGCUUUCGUGUGCUAGUGAAAGAGAGCAGUAGCAAUAACAACAGCAUAGCGUAGUCCAAAUCAAUGUUAGUGCAUUUGCUGGAUGGCAUACUGUGAUCCAAUUUGAAGUACAUCUGUACAUGGAACAUAGAAGUUGGCAGGCCAUACUUCAAUAGUGAUUGCUCCUCAGAUAUUGAUAUCUUCUUUUGUGUUCUGAGCUUACUAUUUUAUUACCAUCAUCAUAAAUAACUUAUUUGCAGAAAUGUCUUUUGUCAGUAAAGCAUUGUCUUGCCAACAGUACAUGGUGGCAAUUUUUUAUAUUUAAUUGCUACAAUAUAUCUUGUUGUUUGGUGAUGUGAUGCUGGUUGUGUUACUUGCAGUUCCACACCGGUGAUGAGGCGAGGCACUUGUCCUGGUGUACAUUAAAGAAUCAGAAUAUUAGAUUUCUUUUUGAGAAUGUACCGUGCACGUAUCUUAUUAAGGACACACUAAACCUCCAUAGUCCAUAAUGUUUGUCAUCCACAACAUACUCCAAGGACAACUCCACUGGAUCUGACCUAAGGUUUGUUGUGCCACCGCGGCAUUUGGCAGCAAGAAGGUGGCUUCAAUGAAGUUCUGUUUGGCCCAACUUUCUACCUUAAAGUUGGAACAGUGUGGUGCAACCACAGCUCUUGCCUCUUGGCAGCAAGACGGUGGCGUCAACAAAGUCCUAUUUGACCCAACUUCUUGUCUCCAUGCUUCAGGGUGGAACAUCAACGAUCCACAUACCUACCAGGCUACCACCUUUAAAUAUGAGAGAGAGGUGAUGUGCCAGAACCCCAGUCCAAUUUCUAUCCAACGCCUGAAUUCGUUCAACUUAUCAUUGCAAAUUGCCUGUAACAUGUACUGUUUUCAAGCAUCUGGUUUUGAAGUUUGAACUGCUGUAUGAUUUAGUUAGAUUAACAGAAAUCCUCAACCAGCAGUUGCCUGAAACCUUUCUGAUAAUUCAAUUUGUCCUGCAGUUGAUGUGUUUUGCCUUAUGAUCAGUGCUUGUUGCUGUGGGGCACUUUUUUUCUGCAUCCGUCAGUUGGGAGAGUGGUAACUGAAAGGUAAUUUGUUUUAAGUUACCUGAUGAGGAUUGGAGAGUCACCCCCUUAUAUAGACUCUUAAGUUGCAGGUGUGAAAUUUUAAAUCUAAUUUCAUCAUUGGGUCUCAUGAUUUGUGGCAAUAUGGUCCUCAUUUGCAGAUCGCAGCAUGAUAUAUCAGAAUUGUUGGGGUGAAGACUCUAAUUUUGUUCUUUGCUGUCAGAAUAAUAACCUUGAAUAUAUACUGCACAUGUUCCCCUAAUUGAAAGCAUAUUCUCUGUUGAAUAUGAUAUUGUAGCCAGCCCAUACACACAACGCAACAGCCAAACUGGAGUUCCAGUAAUCCGCUACGUCGAAGAACUGUUCACCUCAAGGAAUUUGGGCAAUCCAGUCAGAUGGUCCGCUGUGAGCUGGGCUCCAAACACUCAAUCCUGGUUUCGCCGUUUGCAAGUUGUAACCAAAAUGACAUCCUUCUCUGUAGUUGUUUCUGAUGGGUAGUUGCGUAAACAAUUUGCAAGUUUGGACUCGAAUUUCAUGUGUGUGACUAUAUCCAUCGAUGAUGAGGAAAUAUAUCUACUGGCUGAGAUUGCAAAAAUUUCUAGAUAUAUGCUGCUUCAUGUGUGCUCACCUAAGAUAAUCUGCCUUUGAAAACGUAGGGUAGGCACAGGCACCUUGCAACAGGGCGAUGGGCCCAAUCUCAUCUUUCGAGUGACAUUUCAGUAAUUCGAUGAACAUGGCUUCAAUAUCUCACAGUAUCUUGCCGAUUUCAAAUCGAAUUUGCCAGCCGUCAGCUAGCGUCAAACUGUUAUACAGAGAACUUGUAUAUGAAUGAAUCAUCUUUGAUUCGUCCAUGAUGUCGCAGCACUAUAAACAAACUCAUGAGUGAUGAUCUCACAUUUGAAAGUUUUCAUAUCCUAACUAGUUCUGAGCUUAAUGCAAACUUAAGCGAUGACUAACAACAUCCUGAACACCCCAGAUGCUGAAAAACUGCCUCUAGUGACAUGUUCCUGCACUAUGCAAGGAUUCAUCGGACGACCCGGACGGCCUCUCCACCGCCGCGGUGGCCGUGCUGUAGGCGCGCUUCUUCUCCGCCCGCACCAUGCUUGCCAGUUGCCACCGGCGGCGAGGUACCACCGUACCAGUGCCACCGGCGGCGAGGUACCACCGGGCGGCAGAUCCAGGAGGAGGAGAAGCCGAGCCGAGCCGAAUUCCGCCGGGCCGACGAUGGCCCACACCCACCCACAACAUGAGAUGAGAAGGACAAGGCCCACACCCACCCACAACAUGAGAUGAGAAGGACAAGGACAGCGCUAUGUUUGCAGAGCAGUAGCGUUCGACGAAGCCGCGGUCUCUCAGGAUGGAGCGAGCAGCCACCAUCGUGGUUGCGGCAGGAACACCGUGCUCCGGGAGGAGACGGAGGGGGUGCUCGUGUGGCUCACUACGAACCGAGCUUCCAUUCCCGGCCAGCGCGUGGAGCUUGAGACCUCGCGUGGUCGGAUUUCUUGCCGAAUCGGGCGCGCCUCAUCUCUGAUUCUUGCAAACUGCAGGGGUUAGGGGGACCGGAGAGCCGGUUCUCGUGCAUGAGAGGGUAGCGGGUGGCAUGGAGCUUUGCGCUACCGGCAGGAAAGGAUGCUGGAAGGACGGCGGCAGCGGCCGUCGGCAGCCGAGCCGAUCCAAAACAGGGUCAGGAGCCCUUUUGCAAAUAUUCGUAUCGCGAUCCAAAUUAGGAGGCUAUUUGUAAAAAACAGGGGGAAUAUGCAAAUAAUCGGAUCGCGAUCCAAAUAAGGGGGGCAUUUGUACAUUACGGGGGUCAAUAUGCAAAUAAUCGGAUCGCGAUUAUUAAUCGCGAUCCAAACCAGGGGGCUUCAUGCAAAAUUUGGCGCCGGCGUCAUGGCGGCCGGCGACGUCGCGUUGCCGCCGGUGAACUCCGCUUGCGACGUUGCGCGUGUGCCGCGCGAACCUCCGGAGGAUCCGCGUCCCUGCCUAUGGAUCCCGUCGCGCGCCGCCGCCGCUCACGGCCCUAGCUCCUGGAGAUGCUGCAAGCGGUCGCGGGUGUGUCAGAGCGCGCGCCGCGCGGCGCCCAGUGACGCGGAUGGCGCAAGCAAAGCAGCGACGGCGUUGAAGGUUUCCUUGGCUACGCUACCCCCGUUGGCUGCUCAUGAGCUGAAGGUCCCGUUCGUGCCUGCUCCAACGUUUCCAUCCUCGGCAUCGCUGUGCCGUGCGCCGAGCUGGAGUGCUUCGUCAAGGGCUCAAGGCACCUCCUCUGUCCUCUCUCUCGGCCUCGUCUUCUCUCCCUCCUCUGGUUUGUAGAUUAGUCACUGCUGCGCCCUGCAUUCUUCUCCGAAUUGCAGAGCUGAUUGAACUUCUGGUGCGAUUUAAUCCAAUGUUUAGUUUGCUUGUACGGAGUAUUUGCAUGUUCUAACAGUGACGGUCAUGUCUUGUUGCCUUGCCUUCCUGCAGCAGCGGCAGCGUAUGGAGGACGAGGUGGCGGUCAAGCUGAGGAGGUUGGAGCGCCACCGCGCCGCGGCGUUGGCGAGCCACGCGCUCGCUCCUCUUUCCGCAUGGAGGAUCACCUCUCGUUUCUCCUUCCCUGCCGCUUCUUCUCCGUCCAGUUGGGUUGAGGAAUCAUAAGAGCUGAUGAAGCGUGCACUGAGCUUUCCUUUGGAGCAAGGAGCUUUCCAUUUUUUAGUAUGUUACUCCUUAAUUCCUUUGUAAACCUGCGCAUUGAUUAAUCAAGUGUGCUUCUACAUGUUGUUAUCUUUGAUUGGUUUGUUUUUUUAUUAUUCAAUUCCCCCCUCUUCCCGUUUCUUCUAAACAACCGGCAAGAUCAAACUUCUGUAAAACAAUGACUGCGGUUGCAGACCACACCUGUAGGCUACAGUCUGAAUGUCACCAGAAAGAAGCAGCGGGUCCGCAAAUGUGCCCAGCAACCACACAAUCUCUGAUCACCUUACCCAAUUUAUCCUUGGCUUUCCAUGCAAAUGGUUUAGUUUUUUCAAAGCAAACUAUGAUGUAGUUUUUCUUGACCACAUUCAUCAUGCUCCCUGGAAUUUAUUGAAGUUAAGACUUUCUGGAGUCUGGUUUCCAGCCUAGCUGAGUUUGGAGGAAGAAAUUUGUUGUACUGUUGUUUUCCAUUUGUUUGGCGAUACUGGUGCGUUCCUUUUAUCCUCGACGUGUUGGCCUCGUCUGCGGCGAUUUGAUUGUAUCGACUUCAGCAUCGACCUUCUACUUCUACAAUUGGAUCGACACGUCACCAUCCUCGUCUCCGGACCACCCUCGUGGUGCCUCCUCGUGCGCCCGCAGCUUCACGUGCGGCUCCAUCGUCUUCAGCAACCUCGACAGCUACGUCUUGACCACGGCUAUCCUACGCACGACAUCCUCAACCAUAGCUAUUCGUCCUCAUCCCCAGCUACCUCAACAUCGGUAUAAAGUAUAUCGUAAGCAUGAGUUACGUGCUAGUUUUCUCUUCACUCGUAGCAUCUGCACCGCAUCGAUAUUAUAAUUGUGGCAGGAUGUCAAUUUGUUGGCUUCUAUUUUUAGCUUCUUCUUCCAUCUCACCGUCUGCGGUGCUCCCGACUGCGGGGGAUGUUAGAAUAUGUUUGGUAGUUGUAGAUAUAACUAUUGUAGACUACCUUAUGUAUCCGGAGGAGUCUUGCCCUCCAAAUCUUGUACUCAAUAUAUACCGGUCAAGAAGUUCAAUGCAAUACAAUCCAUCCAUUAUACACAAUCUAUUUGUCAUACAGUGUUGGCGCAUGUAUUAUACGGUACCACUCCAAAACAGCUCAUGUAUUAUACGCAAGUCAGCGUGAGCCGUGAGGUUUCCUGUCGUGUAUGGAUGAUCUCCAUCACCUCAAGGCGGUCCUACAUGAGUGGGUUCUGCUGUUACCAGCCGCAGAGAAGGGAGCAUCGGUUGAGCGUGUCACCGUAGAGCUGAAGAUGACAAUAAUAAAAGAGCGUUCGUUCAUAUGACACGUACAGUACGCACAUCAUAUAUACCUCGAGCGUUUUGCAAAGCCAUCGAUGUCCGUCCGGUCUGAAUUAUGUCCAAGAAACAUGAUUCUACUGUCCUGAAUUCUAUGUCUAAUCAGAAAUAAACGCCACAAACUCAGUCGCUCGUUACUGGUGGCUGGUCGUAGCACUUGAAAAUUCUGGGCUUUUGGUUAAAACUAACCCGUACUUGGCAUGAUGAUUUGCUGGGUUCCAUGGCUUCUCUUUCAACAUCAUAUAAGCUGUCCUUUAAUUUGUUUGGGCCAACACGUGCAUGCACUACCGUUGUAAUCAUGUAUCGCGACAUCUUCUCUCGGCUCUGCCCUUAAUAAAACACCAAAAGAGCUCCGCAAGAUAAUGCAGAUUCUUUCGCGAUCAUGUUUCCAUCUUUAUUUUUAAAGCCGGCCGGGGUACGUGCGAGCAAAGGAAAGAGGAGCUUUGGAAAGUUCAUUGACGUUGGAAAUCUGUAGCUUGAGCUAGUAAACACUUGUGUUGCACACACCUAGGUUGGAUAGCCGAAAGCAAAAGCUGAGCUCAUUCGGCGCGCCAGAUACUAAACCAGCAAGAAUUAAGCUAAAAGAAGAAGAAGAAGAAGAAGAGAGACUGACACAGGAACCAGCAAGCCAGAUACUAAACACAACAGCAAGAACAGCAAGAACUACGAGUGCUGUGAACAUAGGAUGCGUGCACCUAGCGCCCGAAUCCAUACCCCACCGCAUCUUCCUGCUGUGUUUUUGUUUGUGCCAACACGAGGCCGUUUGAUUCCAGCUGCCUCCGGCGUGUACUUUUCCGUUGCCCUUUCGGCCGCACACGCCGCCCUGACCAGCGCAUUCAAACGUCAGGGGGGGGCCUGAGCUGUCGCGCUGCAUUAUUGGAAAAAUGCUCGCGAUCGAUCCUUUGGAGCCCGAUCGAACUGCCCAACUAAUGGCCACUCGAAUUGAAUUCGUCGUCGUCUAUGGUUAUCGUCAUCGUCAGGUUGAUGCUAGUGUUUCAGUUGAGAUUUGUUUAUUUUGCGUAUUGAUAUCCCGGAUGAUCCGUCGCUACACGUCGAGCCUGAUGGCGACUGAGCAAGGAUAUAGCAGCGCGCGUCGUGUGCACGGCACGGCCUGUUGACCCAACGGUGGUUUUCAUUAGGUUUCGGAGUUUUUUUGUCGGAAAUCUGUGCCUAAUUAUCAGAUGGAUCGCGAUUUCCUCCUGAUCGCCGUUGUACUUUCGAGUUUGGACUUGGCUUGAUGUUUUCAACCGUGGAACAAUGCGUGAUCCAGUGGCAACGAUCAGGAACGACCCUGCAGGCAAGUGACUGCGCUUAGCCGGGCGCUGAUGUGCUCAGAGCAUCUCUGACUCUCUGUCCCUCCGUCGGUCCCUCCGACUCCGAGCACGGUGUCUGUCUGACUGUCUGGACACGGAACUUGCAGGUUGCCGCGCAUCGUCUUUGCUCUUGCCUCUUGCUACCUGGGCAAAUGGAGAAUCUUUCGGCAUCCCGGCAAAUCAUAAACUAUGUUGUCUCUUCCAUGUCGUUGGUUUCUUCGAAACAGUGCGAGUACUAUAAAAGAGACUAUUUUUGUCCAACAUGGCACACAUGCACGCGUGCUCACAGUAUCGGGCGACGAUGAACAACCACGCAGCACAUCCAUCUCGUCAUCAGAAACACUCCUCCUUAAACAAUCUACUUAACAGUUAACAUGCCUUACCUGCUACUGUACUACCUGGCGAUAUUCAUAUUCUUAUGGACUCGUGCAGAGGUUUCGUGAAGCUCACCGUGCGCACUAAGAAAAGUGUCCAAUGCCUUACUCUUAGGCGAAUAUAGGAAUUAAAGUUUAAGUACAUGCCACGUCGAAUGUUUAGAUAAUAAUUAGGAGUAUUAAAUAUAGGUUAAUUACAAAAUUAAUUGUGUAAAUGAAAGCUAAUUCGUGAGAUAAAUCUAUUAAACCUAAUCAGUCUAUGAUUUGACCAUAUGUUGCUACAAUAAAUAUGUGCUAAUUAUGGAUUAAUUAGGCUUAAUAGAUUCGUCUUGUAAAUAGCCAAUAAACCACUAGUUCACAUUUAGAAUUAGUAUAUAAAUAUUCGAUGUGACCCAAACUAAAAAUUAGUCAUGCAUCCCAAUACCUCCUUAAAAAACCAUCGUCAUCGUGAUCGAGAACCUAAAUCCGUCAUAUCCAAUGCAUUCAGACAUCUCCUAUCGGCCGACCCACGAUACGCAGUUGCUGAAGAUGUUGCCGCUCCUAUUUGCUGAACCUGAACGCCUGCCGUUUGAGAACGCCGACGCGCAGGGCUACGAACAAGCAAAGCUGGAGAGUUUGGCUGGGUCAAACGCACAGAGCGCCUCCAUCCACCAGUAGUGCCGCCACGUUGCUCCCAGUUCCAGUUCCAGAUCCUGAGGUGGCGGCGGCACCGGAGCCGGAGGGAGUCCUCCGAUCCAUCCAACCAACGGCUCCCGUAUGAAUGUCUCUGAUCCGGUCGUCUCCGGGGCGCCAAAUAAACAAGUGCGGGUCCACGUUGCCGUGCCGAUUUCCUCUCCGAUGCCUUUCUUCCCUCCCGCUCCCGUGCGUGGUUGCGUCGCGGAUCCGGAAAAACAACAAGAAAAAAGAAGAAAAGAGCAGAUCCAUCGCCGUCGGUCCUCAAGCCCGCGACGCGACGGCGACCGACCAGGCCUCGCCGGCUCGCCGUCCGCCUGACGCCAGGCCGGCCGGUCCCCCGGAAAACGACCGGGGAGUCGAAACCCACCGCUACCCCCACCGCAGAAAGCCAGGAACCGAAGGAACGAAACGAACUGGUCCUGCUACUGCACACUGCGUAGUGCGUACAACGACUAGCGCACGUACUGUUCGGAAUUUUGCUGACGCAGGCAGCCGUCGCCGUCGCCGCUGCCGCUGCCGCUGCGUAAUCUCGGAAGAACUCACUAACCUUUCAAAAAAGGGCACCGUAAUUACAUCCUUGUCAGCGAGAGCCGUGGCCGGUGGCCCUGCUCGUACUCCGACCGAGGCCUACGGCAACAAGCUCUGCCGAGCCGCCGGUCUGAUUACUCCAACGGAAUCCGGUGCUACGGCGUCAUCCCAACGUUCACAUUUUUCGUUUAGGGCUGCUUAAUCACGGUCAUUAGGGCCCACUAAUGCGAAUUACUCCAGCCUUUUUCUUUUUCGGUUUCGCGAUAUUUCUCGGCUUCCAAGUCGCGCUUCCCCUCUAUUAGUCCAUCCGCGUUCCACCAAACGGGCCCCUUUCCCCCUCUUCUCCCUCCCCUCCUCCCCUUCGUCCUCUCUGUUCUUGUUAAUAGCGCUCGUAAUCCCGUCACUAUCGCUAGUCCCCCCGCCCCACAUCCUCUCCCUGUAAAGAUUUCGUUCUUUCAUCCUUUUGGAUUUCCGAUCCCGUUCUCGGUCCCCGUUUUGAUUUUGCUUGUGAAAAAAAAUCUCGUCUUUGUUGCAAUCUGCAGUAGUAGCGGGGAGGGAGGAGGGAGUUUGUGCAGAGUUUGUUUUCCCUCUUUUUUUGUUCUUUUUUGAUCCGGAAGCGGAGUUCUUGUAGUGGUUACUUGCCACUAAAUAAUCGCGCUUGGAUUGCGUUCUCCGGCUCCGCUCCAAUCCAAUUUGUGUCGCUGGAGGAGGGAUUCGGGGGCGGAAGGCACUGUUCUGUGCUUCCUUGGAUUCCACGGCAAAGCCCGGCUGCGAGGUUGGCGUCCCUCUCGGUCGCAUUCCGCCGGUUGCCAAGGGGCCGGGCUGCGGGAAGAUGGUGUCGCAGGCGCCCAUGGCGGGGGCCAACCUCACGGCGGCGCUGUGCAAGAAGAGCAACCGCGUCGCGCGGGUGCUCGCGUACGCGCUGCUGGAGUGGAUCCUCAUCGCGUUGCUCCUCGCCAACGGCGUCUUCUCGUACCUCAUCUCCAGGUUCGCCGCCUUCUUCGGCCUCGCGCCGCCCUGCGCGCUCUGCUCCCGCCUCGGCGUCGACAGCCUCUUCGAGCGCCACGCGCACCGUGGCGUCGGCGGCGCCGAGCCUCUGCGCCGCGUGCUGUGCGACGCGCACGCCGCCGAGCUGUCGUGCCUCGGCUACUGCAGCGCGCACCGCCGGCUCGCGGACGCCGGGGACAUGUGCGAGGACUGCGCCGCGGCCGCGGCGCCCGGGAAGGCGCUGCUCUCGUGGAUGGGCCGGAGCGAGCUCGGCGAGCGGGACCUCGCCUGCGCCUGCUGCGGCGUCGCGCUCGAGAGCGGCUUCUACUCGCCGCCCUUCUUGCUCCCCACGCCGGCGAAGGGUGGCACAGAUUGCGGCAACAAGGAAGAGGAAGAGGCGGCGAGGCUAAAUGGAGACGUUGUCUUUGUGUCCGAGGAAGGCCCUGUGAUCGAGCUCUUUGACGAGAAACCAUUGCUGGGGGAUGACUCAAUCAGUGUCUUGGCUCACGGUCCUGAGAUUGUUGCCAAUGUCGAGCGUCUGGUGCCUCUUGAAUCCAUUGACUCAUUGGCUGUGGACAUGGGUGCAGUGUCAUCCCAAUCUGGUGUUGAGAAGAAGGAAGCGGUUGAUCAUGUAAGGCAGGACAACGUGGUCAUGGAGAACAUGGUUAAUGCCAAUGAGGAGAAAAUUGUGAUGACAAAUGAUGAUGACAAGGGGGAUGGUGUGGUUGAUCGGCUGAUUGAUGAGCAGAUUGCUGACGUAGCCCUUGUGCCAGCUUGUAUGGAAGGUACGUUUGAUGAUGUGAUAAAUGCAGGCAAAACUGUUGAGGGCUUUGCUGAGCAGUGUAAGUCAUUCCCUCUCUGAUAAAUUAUCUUUUCCGCAAGUCAUUAUCUUUUGCCGUUCCAGUCUAACAAUGAUGUGGCUGUGGGCAUGAAUGUGAGCUUUUUCAAUGGCUUCAUUGCAUAUGUAUUAAUCGUGCUUGUGUUCAUUACCACAUUUAUAUUUGUUUUGCUAGUCAUCUAAGUAAUGAAUUAGAAUGUAGUUUUCUCUACUUAAUGGAAUGUGGUUCUGCUUGGGUGUUCAUUGAGCUGUGCUAUUGUACUCAUUUAAUUAUACUAGAUUUUAGAUAGCACUGUUAUAUCAACUGCACUUUUGCUGUCAUAUUUGAUCUGGUGAACCUAUAGUCAAAGAGAAAAAAAGAAGUAACCUAAGAAACUUAAAAGGAUGAAAUGGACCUCUUAACAAAAAUAGAAGGCAACCCAUGUCAUUUACUGUCCUUGAAGUUGUUCCGUGCUGAUGUUUUUCCCUGUUUCAAGUUACUAAGCCAUCCGCCUUGUUUUCAAAAUAUUAAAUGCAGCUCCUGAGGAGGACAGUGGAUUGAAAGAUAAGGAUAUGGAAAUAUCAGUUGAGGAUGAGAUAUCUGAGGAUGAUCAAGUUAAAAAGGUGUAUACUAUGCUAAGUGACACCAGUGACCAUGAAUUUGUUGAGAAGUUAGACAGAAGUAUCGAGGUGGAGCAUUUUCAACAGGCUGAGUUAAAGCAAAAAUUGAACUUGAUGACAAUGGUAGCUUCUGCGUAUGUCGCUGUAACUCAGCCUGAGGAGAAGCAGGUUCACCAAGCUGAGGUGAAUCAGGAGUUGGGUUCAAUACCAAUACAGCCAAGGGAGCAUUCUGGUGAAGAACUUGAAGGAGAGAGAGCUGCACAGGCUGGGCUGGAACAAGAGUGUGACUCUAUGCCAAUUGAUUCUGGGGAACAUGCUUGCAUGACUUCAUAUGCUUGUACUGAUGAUGAGCAGGUUGAGAUGAAGCAGAAAGUCACUUUAGCUGCAGCAGAUGUUCCGGAGUUUCCAGCAGACACUUUUAAUGAUGACACAAACGCAUGGAAAGGUAAGAUGCUGAGAUCUUAAGAAUCCUUUGUUUAUUUCCACCAGUUUAGUGCAUUGUGAUUGUGUAAAUUUUUAAAUUGAUUCUUAAAUGUUGAACAGAAGAUAUUGAAGAGGAUCCAACUGAAGCUGCUCUAACAAGCAUACACGAACCUUUGACAAGCUUAGACAAGUUCUCUCCCAAUCAUACUGUUACCGAAGAAGAGAGAGACCCUGAGACGCCAACUCGUAUUGAAGGUAUAUGUGAUUCACAGGAAUUGUUGGAUUCUAAAGCAGCUGUUUCUGAUGCUAAAUCCGUAGAUUCAAGUGUUGCUACUAUGACUACUGAUCUGGAAAGCACUGAAUUCGUUAGUGUCGAUCAACUAAAAUCUGCCUUGGCAUCUGCACGCAAGUCAUUGAACAGCCUAUAUGCUGAACUUGAAAAUGAGAGGAACGCUGCUGCUAUAGCUGCUGAUGAAACCAUGGCAAUGAUAAACCGCUUGCAAGAACAGAAAGCUGCAAUGCAGAUGGAGGCGAUCCAGUACCAGCGGCUUAUGGAGGAACAGUCAGAGUAUGAUCAAGAAGCACUGCAGAGGCUGAAUGAACUAGUUGUAAAGAGAGAGAAGGAGAAGCAAGAUCUGGAAAGAGAACUCGAGCUGUAUCGCCACAAGGUUCAUCUCUAUGAGGCAAAGGUGAGAAAAAUGUCCAGGCACAAGGCUGAUGACCAGAAUGGGUCAUCGUCAGCUUCAUCAAGUGCUGAGGACAGUGAUGACCUUUCGCAAAGUUUCUAUGAAGGCGAUGAAUCUGCCCAUGGUCUUAAUGGAAGCAAUGGGAGUAUUCCUACAGAUGUUGUUCUACAAGAAACUGCCAGGCAUCUGGUUACCCUUGAUGGCUCACUAGCUGAUUUUGAGGAAGAGAGACUCUCCAUUCUGGAACAACUUAAAGUGCUAGAGGAUAAACUUUUUGACCUUGAUGAUGAAGAAUCCGAUAACAUGAAGACAGACAAGCAUUUCUCAGAAGAACACCAUUUAAGCGGUGCCUCAAAUGGUUUCUCUGAUGAUGAAAGCUGCUUUAAACUUCAUGACAAAAGAAAAAGUGUAACAUGUAGAGGAAAGAAGCUUCUGCCACUGUUUGACGACGCUACUGUGGGAGCUAGAAAUAUCGUUCUAACUAAGCAAGGUGAUGAGGCAGAUCAUUCAACAGAAGUCACAUUGGACCUUGCUCGAGAGCAAGAUAAACUUGCAAUCGCCCAUGAGAUUGAUCAAGUCCAUGAAAGGCUGCAUGCUCUUGAGGCAGAUAGGGAAUAUAUAAAACAGUGUGUGAGAUCUUUGAAAAAGGGAGGCAAAGGGUUUGAUCUUCUUCAGGAGAUCUUACAGCAUCUUCGAGACCUGAGAAGGAUUGAGCAACGUGCAAGGAACUCUGGGGAGCUUUCACCCCACUAUCUGCAUCUUUACACGGACUAAAGGUAACAUGCUACAUUUAGUAUUGAUGAUCUGCUGAAUUUUUAUUUUCAACAUGAAGAUGGUGGCGCAAUCAUUGUUCUUUAAAUUCUAAGAAAAUCAGUUCAAUGUUAAUCCAUUACAUACACGACGAAUAAACAAAAUUCUAGUUUCUUAAAGUAGCUAUGCACCCCAAAUGUCCGUAGCACAUUACUAAAUUUUGUGCCAAACUUUUGUGCCUAACUAUACCACAUUCUACCCUGAUUUGGUUCUAUCAGAACCCUAAUUCUUGCUUGUUGGUUCCAGAUCAGCUGCAGGCCCUGUGCUCAUGUCCGACCGACCAAUAUAGCUCGAAGACGGAAAGCAUACAACACGGUAAGAAAAAAAGGGAUUGCCGACUAACUAGUAUUGUCAUUGGAGAAAUUUGGUUCAUUCCCGGAGAGAAAGGAGCUCCUCCAGGAAACACCAUCACAGUUGGUUCAGCGACGCCAUCCGGAAGGCAGAUCAUGGAGCAAUCCUGCCUUCCAAGGUCCAGGGUUUUUUGUGGACCACUUUGCACGUUCUCUCUUUGUUUUUGUUGGUUUAAGUUUUCCAGGGUAGGGGGGGCUUCCAAACUUUUGCCUAUGGGCAAGAGGUUGGUUGGUGAGCCGCCCUGGGCCAUGGGGUGUGUUUGUGGGGUUGUGGCGGCAAUCAUGGCCUUGUGCAAGCUUUGGAAUUCAUUCAUUAGCACGAAAACAUGCCGCUGGCAGCUUUGCUGCCAGGUAUAGAGUGAGUAUAAAAAGAGGUAGUCCCAGCGGGCUUCACUAGUUUUUGUUUCUUUUUUUCCGUCUAAAUUCUUUUCCUGUAAAUCCUCUAGCUGUAUGUAAUGCGCUUUCGGCUUAUGGAAUGGUGACGAGGUGUUGGGUGUGUGUGCAGAGCAUAAUUGCUGUUUGAUGAGAGCAUAGCUGUGCGCCUGUGCCGGCGGCCUUUUCCGUUCGUUUCUUUUCUCCUUUAUUGUGCACAUACAAAACUAGUAGCCCUUUUGAUGCAAGUGCUACUUGGUUAAUUAAACCCUGAAAGCAACCGGCGUCAUGCGCUGAUGCAUGAUUGGUUUAGCUGUCAAGGAUCAUGAGAUGGAUGACGAGUUGGCCGCUGGCCAGGGGCAUGGAUGCAGCUCACCGAACAGUCUGUUGGGUGGGGUGGACCUGCCCUACCAUGUUCUGAUGCUGCUCACCAAUGCUGCAUGACCUUGUUGGUCCUGUGCAAUACCUUCUCUGUUCCGGUACUGGUGCUACGAGGCUGUCAGCUGUCAGCAACAGCUUCCGGCUUUAAUCGAAGCUCUGUUAGGUUUCCUCAUCUUCCUAUAGCUAGCUUUGGCUGGUCCGGACAGUGCGGGAUGGUUCUGUCCGUAGCCGUACAGCUUUGGCCAAGGGCCGAGCGAGGCUAUACAUGGCCAACCGGACGGCACGGCGCAACACGGCACUAUGCGGCACGGUGGUCAUGCCGUGUAGUACCUUCGUGCCGACAUCUCGACCCUGGCACGGUCCUAUGGGCGGUUAGCCGUGCCGUGCUGUCGAGCACGGUAGCCCGACGUGCCCGCGCCGACCUGAGGUCGCGCCACCCGCUCCGUCGCCGCUGUCGCCGCUCCGCCGCCACUGCCGUCGUUGCCUGCGCGCGCCUCGGGGGGCCGUGCCGCCGCCGCCUGCGCGCGCGUGGGAGACGGGGAAGAGAAUAGAGAGUGAGGAACUAGGGUUUCCACAAUUAUAUAUGACUCGAUGCGAAUCUAACGACUCUGGUUUAGUUAGGAGAUCCAACGACUAAUAUUUAUCGGGCCAGCAUAGUGCCGGCCCAUUAAGCGUGUCGUGCCCGUGUCGGCACUGCGGGCUGAAUAGGCGGUCCAGGCCCGGCACUAACGUCGUGCCGUGCCUCGCACUAGAUGGCUCACGGGCCGAGCCGUUGCCGGACCGUGCUUCUUCGUGUCGUGCUCGAGCCGGCCAUCGUGUUAGUGCCAAAUGGAAAUUUAUAAGCGAGGCUGUGUGUGACCUGCGACUGCGAGAUGCAUCGCAUCCAGUGGAGUGAAGUGAAGGCGCGAGGGCGAUGCUUGCAGCUUUGCUUUACCUCUAAGCAUGGAUCCGGGCAGAGGUGAGGUGUUCAUCUGUUACUAUUAGGAUGUGACAGACUGACAGGGUGCCCGUGAUUGUUCCCGUCUCCGAUCCUGCGAGAGUUGUACUACGGCACGUGGUGUGUGCGAUGGGAUUAUGGGAAGGUAUGGAACACGUGCAGUUAGUAGUUAAGCUUACUUCAUUAGUUUCAGGAGAUCAUCAAUCGUUUCUUUAUUCUGCCAGGAAAGAUUGUUCUUGGCGUUGAUGGAUUGGCUAUUGGUACAGACUACAGUACCACGGUUAUGCUAGAAACUGGCUACUCUAGUCUAGUCCUAGUCAUGUUUGGCAUCUGCUGAGACAAAAACAUGGAUGAAUUCUUUAACUUUGAGCGACAUCUUUGUCAAAGUCUAUGUCUAUAUGACCCGUGAGCUAAGAGACUACCUGCCACCAUCUCCCCCGUCCUCCCAAGCUCAACGGCCGACCGGCCCUAUCUUUGUGACGCGAGAUCCUUCUUCCAUAGCAUGGCGUGCGGCGACUCGUGCAGCGAGUCGCUGCGGCACAAGCAGGCUUUCCAUUUUCUUCCGUGGCUGGCUGCGGGGAUCCUAUCUAUAUCUUGUGGGAGAUAGAGAUAGGGGAGAAAUCUUCUAGCCCACCUCCAACCCAUUAAUCUCUUCUCCCAUUCUUCCCCGGCGACUCCCAAACUCCCGCCGCCUCCUCCACCACCCCAGCCAGCGGCUGCCGCGCCACCCGUCCACCCACCAUUGUGUUAGCACCAAGUGUAGCAAGGACUAGGAUCAGAGGCAAGCAGCAAGGGAAGGAAGCAAGAUAGAUGGAUACAGCACCAGAGGUCUGUUGCCUUGAGAAAGAAGAAGAACAGAGUAUGUUGUUUACCAAAAUUGUCCUCCUUCUUCCCUCCUCUCCAAGCUAAUAAGUACUUUGUCUAAAAGCUAUUACAUGGGCUGGGCCCGAUAAGCGAAGGAGAUGCUACGCAGACCAUUCUGGACCGAAGACUCUUGGGUUAGCUUUCCUGGGCCUGGUGUUCCUGCUUGCCAUCGGUUCUUCCUCCUCUGCAUUACUGACAUUCCCCCUCCGAUAAGACGUCGCUUGACCCCAAGCAGGCACAAAAGGAUAAAGCUGCUGUAAAGCAAUAGCAUCCUCCUAAGUCGCCAUUUCCAGCGGCUAAUUGGACCAUUUCACCAACACCUGCUGCACUGGUUGGACACCCUUGGUGACUAGAUGAUGAUGUAGUAUCUUUCCAGACACACGAGGAGAGUCCACAUCAGAAGGCAUGACAGGAAUUACCUCAGUACCUUUAGUAACCGCUUGUUUCAGCUGGCUGACAUGGAAUACUGGAUGGACGGAAGAAGAAUCAGGUAGCAAUAACUUGUAAGCCACCUUGCCCACCUUAGCAAUGAUUUUGAAUGGACCAUAGUAUUUGAAAGCAAAUUUCUGAUUAGCUCGAGGGGCCAAUGAAGUCUGCACAUAUGGUUGCAUUUUCAAAAACAUCAUAUCUCCCACAGAAAUUGUCUCUCUGACCUAUUCUUAUCUUCUUAUCAUUUCAUCUGUAGACGAGAUCUGGUCAGGUGUUGCUUGAGCAGGGUAUUCAUAAGCUACCUGUCAUAUAACCAAGAUGAUAGUUUUGGAACAGAAACUGUAGUAGCAUCAUCAAUACCAAAAUGCUUAGGCUCAUAUCCAUAAAGAGCUUGAAAAGGAGAUCUCCCAAUAGCAGAAUGAUAGCAUGUGUUGUACCAAUACUCUGCUAAUAACAACCAUUGCGACCACUUGGAUGGACAUCAUUGACAAAGCAUCAUAGGUAUGUUUCCAUUAUUUGAUUCAAUCUUUCAGUUUGGCUGUUAGACUGCGGAUGAUAGGAGGAACUCAUCCGAAGAGUCACGUUAGCCAAACGAAAUAGCUCUUUCCACCAGAGACUUGUGAAAAUCCUAUCACGAUCAGUAACUAUUACCUUUGGCAUACCAUGCAACUUAUACACAUUCUCCAUGAACAACUUGGCCAUAGUAGCAGUAGUAAAGGGGUGAUGCAUUGGAAUAAAGUGGUCAUACUUGGUAAGGUAAUUCACUACCACCAAAACACAAUUUGUUGAGCCUGAAGAAGGAAGACCCUCCACGAAGUCCAUUGAAAUUAUCUGUCAAGCUUCAGCUGGCACUUCCAAAGGCUAAAGCAAUCUUGGAAGCUUACUUCUAUCUGGUUUUGCUUGCUGACAAACCACAUAAUGUUUGACAAAGUGAGUAAUAUUUGAUUUCAUUCCCUUCCAGGCAAACAAUUUCUUCAUUCUCAUGCGCGUCACUGGGUCUGAAUGUCCACCUAAUGCACUGCUAUGACAGGCUAACAGAAGUUUCUUUUGAAGACCAGGAUUGGCCCCAAUCUAUAUCCUUCCCUUGUAUCUCAUCAACCCAUUUUGCAGAGAAAAAUUGAGAACAGCCUCUGGAUCAAUAGCAAGUUUGGCCAGCAAUGAGAGGGCCCACUCAUCCUGCUGAUAUCCUGCAAUCACAUCUUGCAUCCAUUGUGGAGUAAGAGAAGAAAUUGUAGCACACACCAUCUCAUAAGCUAACUUUCUGGGCAGGGCAUCUGCCACUCUAUUCUCAACCCCUUCCUUGUACACUACUCUGUAUUGAAGGCCAAGGAGUUUAGAAAAGACUUUCUGUUGCCAAUGUGUGUGGAGCCUUUGUUCAGUGAGUUGUGUCAAACUUUUCUGAUCAAUGAAAAUGGUGAACUCAUUAUGCUGCGAGUAACAUCUCCACUGUUGUAUUGCCAUUAGCUUACAUUAGCAAAGCUUUGGGGCCUCAGUCACAAGGCUUAUCAACAUAUGAGAAGGAGUAUUUAGCUGCUGCAAGUAACAUCUCCACUGCUGUAUCACCAUCAAUAUAGCUAAAUACUCCUUCUCAUAUGUUGAUAAGCCUUGUGACUUAGGCCCCAAAGCUUUGCUAAUGUAAGCUAAUGGAUGACCAUCUUGCAUAAGCACAACCCCUAUCCUAGUACCACAAGCAUCAGUUUCAAUUGAAAAGGGUUUGGAGAAAUCUGGCAAUGCAAGUACACGUAUAGGAGCAGUACAUAGUGCUUUUUUAAGAGCUAGAAAGGAUUUGUCAUGUACAGAAGUCCAGACAAAUAUGACAUUUUUCUUAAGUAGUUCAGUUAAUGGUUUGCUAAUCACACCAUAGCCUUUACAAAUUUCCUGUAAUACCCUGCUAGUCAAAAAAACUUCUUAACUGUUUGGAAGAAGUAGGUGUUGGCCACUGAGAAAUACUAGAAACUUUUGUAGGAUCUGUCUCCACACCUUGUUCACUGAUUACAUGACCCAGAUAAGAAAUCUUUCUAUUUGCAAAAGAACAUUUAGACAAUUUAAUUUUCCACUAAUCUUUGUCCAAUAGCUCAAAUACCAUUCUGAUGUGAUUAACAUGUUCUUUAUACGAGGCAGUGUAUAUUAGAAUAUCAUCAAAAAAUAGUAGCACAAAUUUUCUUAAAUAAGGGGGUCAAAGUAGAAUUCAUUACUUCUUGGAAUGAACCAGGGGCACCUGUGAGGUCAAAAUCCAUAACUUUGAAUUCAAAUUGACCACAAUAUGUUUGCAAGGCUGUUUUGUAUUCUUCCCCUGGCUUCAUCCUAAUUUGGUGAAAUCCAGCCCAAAGAUCCAAACUAGUGAACCAAGAAACUCCAGCCAGCUCAUCUAGAAAUUCAUCAAUUAUGGGCACGGGGUACUUGCUCUUGAUUGUGAUAGCAUUAAGAUGUCUAUAAUCCAUACAAAACCUCCAAGCAUUAUCCUUCUUUUUGACCAGUAGCACUGAAGAUGAAAAUGGACUUGAGCUUUUCCGAAUCAGGCCAUUCUUCAACAUUUCUUUGAUCUGCUUCUUAAUUUCAUCCUCUAGAGCUGGAGCAUAUCUAUAAGGUCUCACUUGAACUGGAGUAGCACCUUCUAUUAGAGGUAUAUCAUGGUCACAAGCUCGUGGUGGAGGUAACUCUACAGAGACCUUAAAAAAUUCAGCAAAUUCCUGAAUAAGAUCUUAUAUUUCAGUUGGCAUAGACACCAUCACUUGAUUAUCUGUAACAAACACAUCAAUUGCAUAGACUUGGAUAAUUGUGCCCUCUAGGGUUGCAGGGAGAUUGCCAUACAGAAGAGCUGUAGAGUCCUUAUAAGGAAUGGGGCUGUGGAGUUCCAGCCAAUCCAUGCCAAGAAUCAUAUCAUAAGCAGACAAUUUGAGAAUUUUCAAGUCAAUAGAAAACUCAUAAUUUUCAACUGACCAUACUGCCUGUGGCAUUUGAUAUGAGCAAUUCAACUUCUCACCAUUAGCUACCUGCACUGUCAUAGAGAACUGCAUAGGAACAACUCCUAAUAACUCAGAUGCAAGAGUAUCACUGAGGAAUGAAUGAGAGCUACCAGAAUCAACUAAAACUUUCAUCUGAUGACCCUGAAUUCGACCAGAAAGACAGAGUGUCUUUGGAGAAGGAAUGCCAGUGACAGCAACCAAGGAAAUAGUGAGAAACAACUGAUCAUCACCAGUAUUGGAAUCCCUGACUGUUGAGUCAUCUUCCUCUUUCAGUUGAAAUAAUUCCAUCAAUUCCUGUACUACAUAUAACUGCACAGUAUCUGAACGUUUAUGGUCUUUAGACCAUUUUUCAGCACAAUACUAGCGUAACCCCUUUGAUCUUCUGAAAGUUUUCAAAGCACGCCACUUGUCUUCUGCUGAAGAGGCCCAAGUAGAUUCUGUCGACUUUCUGUCCUCAAAUGAGGAAUUCAUGUGUUUUGUUUUGCUUGAAUGGUUGAGGUGGAACAGGCAAAACGGACUUGAAGUAAGCCUUGCUGGAAUAAUUGGAGUCCAUCUUCUUGCAUUCCUUCUUUCGACCGGAAUCCAAUAACUCCUCCUGCAACUGAGCAAGAACAUAGGCAGUAUCCAAAUCGUGGGGGCAUUGAAUAAGCACAGAAGCUUUCAAUUCAUCUUUCAAACCAUCAAUAAAACGCAUGGUAUGAUGCAUAGGAUUAGCUUGACCUAAUCAAUUAAGCCAGCAUAUUUCUCAAUGUAUUUAGAGACAGAACCUAACUGCUUAAUGUUAAGAAGCUGCCUAACCAAGAGCUCAUGUUGGUCUCUACCAAAACGAUCUAACAACAAGGAAGAAAAUUCAGACCAAAGGCAGGAUUUAAGCUUGUGGUCUAUUGAUGGCAACCAAUGAGAAGCUGGUGGAACAAAAUGCAUCGUAACAACCAUUAUCCAACGAUGUUGCUCAACAUCAUAUAGCUCAAAGUAAUCAACAAAUCUACUAAGCCAGAGUUUAGGGUUGGUGCCAUCAAACGAUGGGAAAUUCAACUUAGGAAGCCUACGAGAACCUAAACCUGAAGGACUAGCAGAUCUGAAACGAUUACCAUUGCUAGGUAAAUGAGAAACCAUAGAUUUAGGUGGAGGAGUAGGAAGACGCAACGCACCCUUGAUCGAGGGAUAAAGCAAUGUUGUAACAGACCCCAUACCCAUCCUCCCGGUGGAAGUUGUUGACGCAGUGCCUUGGGCCUGUCGGCUUCACUCGAAGUAGGUGGGCGCUCGGCAGCCGAAGGUGUGAUCGACAAUAGAGGAGGCUGCCGAUCCAGAACCGCAUGCUCCCAGUGCUUGUUCAGCUUCCCAACCUCGAGGCGAAUGUCAUCGACGGUGCCGUCGAUGUCGGGUCUCCAAUCUUCGAAGGACGACGCCACGCGCUCCAACGCAUCCAGACACGCGUCCUGCGCGAUCUUAAGGUCCGCGAACUUGCGCUCCCACUUGUCGUCGGACUCGGAGAAGCGAUUGUCCCACUUCGACUCUAGCUCAUCGAAGUGCUUGGUGAAUUCAUCAAGUAUGAUCUUGGUUUCGGGAUUCAUCGCUCCGUGGCGGCGCUAAAACCAGAUAUAAUGAUCAUGGGAGAAACGUGAUCCAAAUCUGCAUGAACUAAUUCACCCGAGGAUCGGCUAGACUGAUAUCAAUUGUUAGCAGCAAGUGUAGCAAGGACUCGGAUCAAAGGCAGGAAGCAAGGGAAGGAAGCAAGAUAGAUGGAUACGGCACCAGAGGUCCGUUGCCUUAAGGAAGAAGAAGAACAGAGUAUGUUGUUUACCAAAAUUGUCCUCCUUCUCCCCUCCUCUCCAGGCUAAUAAGUACUUUGUCUAAAAGCUAUUACAUGGGCUGGGCCCGAUAAGUGAAGGAGAUGCUAUGCAAACCAUUCUGGGGCGAAGACUCCUGGGUUAGCUUUCCUGAACCUGGUGUUCCUGCUUGCCAUCGGUUCUUCCUCCUCUGCAUUACUGACACAUUGCCGCUGCCUUCUACCCCACCCUUCCUAAUCCGAUGCCACUCGUGACCCCCGCCGCCGGCCACCACCCACUGGGUGUCUAGCCCCGUCCGGUCAGCAGCACUCCUGCGCCGCCUUGCCCCCCCUCCCACUGGCCGAAGCGCCACCACCGCUGGGCCUGCCGCCGCUGCCAACCUCCUCCUCUUCUAAGGCCGAUGGUCAUUAGAACCCUCGAAACCCGGACCUCUAACCCUAAGUACCGCCGGUCUCGAUCACCACCUGCGCCUGGCGGCGACCAAGCCGCCGUGCUAGGGCGCCCACCUCCUGCCCCUCUAGCAAGCUUCCUCCCCCCGACCUUGUAUCUUGGCGGCGGCGUGCGUGCGAGAUGAGAGAGAGGCGGGGAGGCGACGGGAGGAAGAAGGAAGGAGAAAAAAUCGUGUGGUCGAGAAUAGCUGCACGAAUCUUAAAGAUUGGAAGGUCAAGGGCCUAUCCAUCUUCCGGAAGAUGGACAGGAUUUCCGCUGGCUGUGGACACAGCGUGGGCCGUGUACAGCGUUUUGCCGAAACUUUGACCCACACACAUCUCCAGCACAAAUUCAGGCCCACAUCUACGUCGGUGCCGCCCGCCAUCGAGCCGAUGACCAACACGGCCCAAUUUGGGAAAGUCGGUAACUUCAGCCCUGGCAACGCGGCCUUCGUUCUGUUCACCGAAUCUAUCGUCCGCCACACAGGCGCAAACCCUCCUUCCCCCUCGCCACAUCUGCCACGCCGCCGCCGCCAUGAAGCGCUCAGCCGACGCGAUGACGGAGCCGGCGAAGCCCGUGUUCCUCACCAAGGCUGAGCGGGAGCGCCUUGCGCUCGAGCGCCGCCAGGCCGCCGUCUCCGACCAGCGCCGCACCGCGCUCGACCUCCUCCAGUCCCUGCCCCGGCCCCCUCCGCCGCCGCCUCCGGGCGGCCCUCCCCCGUCCGGCUCCAACUCCGCUCCUCGUGAGUCCUCCAGCUCCCACCGAGACUCCUCCGACCGGGACCGGGACCGGGACCGGGACCGGGACCGCCGCCGCGACGACGACUCCCGCCGCGACCGAGAUCGGGAUCGGGAGCGCGACCGGGACGACUCCUCCCGCCGCGACAGGGACAGGGACAGGGACAGAGACCGAGACCGGCGCGACCGCGACCGGGACAGGGAUCGGGAGCGGGAGCGAGACCGGGACAGGGAGCGUGGAGACCGCGGGGACCGGGAGAGGGACCGGCAGGAGAAGAUGGCGGAGCGGGAGCGUGAGAAGGAGCUCGACGCGAUCAAGGAGCAGUACCUGGGGUCCAAGAAGCCCAAGAAGCGGGUCAUCAAGCCCUCGGAGAAGUUCCGCUUCUCCUUCGACUGGGAGAACACCGAGGACACCAGCCGUGACAUGAACACCCUCUACCAGUCGCCGCACGAGGCCCGGCUGCUCUUUGGGCGGGGCUUCCUUGCUGGCAUCGACCGCCGUGAGCAGAAGAAGGCGGCAGCCGCGCACGAGAAGGAGACCCGUGCGGAGCUGCGGCGCAAGGCUGGUGUGGAGGACCGCCCAGAGGAUGAUGUGGUGGAUAAGAAGAAGGCUGCUGCGGCUGAAAUGUAUGAUGCAUUUGACAUGCGUGUGGACAGGCACUGGUCUGAGAAGGUGCUUGAGGAGAUGACCGAGCGGGAUUGGCGUAUUUUCCGUGAGGACUUCAAUAUCUCCUACAAGGGUUCUCGCAUACCGCGUCCAAUGCGGAAGUGGAGUGAGAGCAAGCUUGGGACUGAGCUGCUUCGUGCCAUUGACAAGGCUGGCUAUGAAAAACCAUCACCAAUCCAGAUGGCUGCCAUUCCACUUGGUCUACAGCAGCGUGAUGUUAUUGGUAUUGCUGAGACAGGUUCUGGCAAGACUGCAGCUUUUGUACUCCCCAUGCUGUCGUACAUUACCCGACUGCCACCCAUAAGUGAGGAUAACGAGGCUGAGGGUCCUUAUGCUGUUGUCAUGGCACCUACUCGUGAGCUUGCUCAACAAAUUGAGGAAGAGACUGUGAAAUUUGCAACCUAUCUGGGCAUUAAAGUUGUAUCAAUUGUUGGUGGUCAGUCCAUUGAGGAGCAGGGUUUCAAGAUUAGGCAGGGCUGUGAGAUUGUAAUUGCAACACCUGGCCGGCUUCUUGAUUGCUUGGAAAGGAGGUAUGCUGUGCUCAACCAGUGCAAUUAUGUAGUGCUUGAUGAGGCUGAUAGGAUGAUUGAUAUGGGCUUUGAGCCACAAGUUGUUGGUGUCCUUGAUGCGAUGCCAUCAAGUAACUUGAAACCUGAGAAUGAGGAUGAGGAACUUGAUGAGAAGAGGAUCUACAGGACAACUUAUAUGUUUAGUGCCACCAUGCCACCUGCUGUAGAGCGUCUUGCUAGGAAGUAUCUCCGGAACCCAGUUGUGGUGACAAUCGGUACAGCUGGCAAGGCCACUGAUCUGAUCACCCAGAACGUGAUCAUGGUGAAGGAGCAAGAGAAGAUGUCACGGCUCCAGAAGAUACUCAUGGAUCUUGGAGACAAGACAGCCAUUGUGUUCUGCAAUACUAAGAAGACAGCGGACAUGCGUGCUAAGGAUCUGGACAAGGCAGGCUUCCGUGUCACAACCCUACAUGGAGGGAAGUCACAAGACCAGAGAGAGAUUAGCCUUGACGGAUUCAGAAACCGACGUUUCAAUGUUCUUGUGGCUACUGAUGUUGCAGGGCGUGGUAUUGAUAUUCCUGAUGUCGCACAUGUGAUUAAUUAUGAGAUGCCUAGUUCAAUUGACACAUACACACAUCGCAUUGGAAGAACAGGACGUGCUGGAAAGAAGGGAGUAGCAACUUCAUUUUUAACGCUGGAGAAUACUGAUAUUUUCUUUGAUCUGAAGCAGAUGCUCAUUCAGAGCAACAGUCCUGUGCCUCCUGAACUUGCAAGACAUGAGGCAUCAAAAUUUAAGCCAGGCUCAAUUCCUGAUAGACCUCCAAGGAGAAAUGACACAGUCUUCGCAAAUCAUUGAAGCGACCUACUGAAGUAGCGGUUGAAGAUCUUUUGGACUAGUAUGAGCGCAAUUUCUACUGGAAAGAGAGGGAUCUAGAUUAGUGUUGAAGAGGUACAAAGACUAUUAUGAUUAGAGAUAUUUUAAUUUAUGUUUGAAAGCUGGCUUUAUAUUGUCAUAACUUUAGUAUGUUUUGGUGAUGAUUUAGCUGUGGACCAUGUGUAUCCUAUCAUAAUUUUGUGCUAUUUUGCAAGCUUUGACAUGGCUGAAUUAUAGUAUUCCCUGUGUAUUUUAUAAAUGCUUUUGGUAUAUUUAGGUAGCAUAUUGCUUCAGACUUCGGAGUCAUUCUUUUAUCAUUUUUGCAGAGAGCACAUUAUCUGACUCUCAUUGUGGAGAUGUAUUGCAUGUAGUUCACAUCAUUUUAGUUCGAAGAGGUGCUAAUUUUAUUUCUUAUUACAUUUUAUUUUCCUGCUAUGUGGUGAUUCGGUGAUCAAUUUUAUAACUUUCUCUGACCUUUGAUCUGGCAGUAGUACAAAAGAAACUAAAUCAAUUGGGUCCCUGUUGUUUGCUUUCACUCUGGGCAUUUAGAAUAAUAUGGUGAAGUGCAGUGCGCUAUACUUCUGAGCCUAGGUUGGUUGUGCUAAAACCAGUUGAAUCAUUAGUGAUGUGGAUCAUUCUGGCAGCAUUUAGAACUUUAAAUCCGGUGACAAUGUUUUGGCUAGGGAGCAAUGAUUAUACCAAACAAGUGUCCAUGCAGAAUAAUCUUAUACGAUAUUUGUAGAUGGUGUCAAAUAGUACUAACAUAGCAUAUAUUCUGUUUAACUAGUGUUCUAUGUUUUUCUAUUAGAUUGUGUAUGUUAGUUAUAUGCUUGUACAAAAAAAUUAGUUCUGAAUAUUUAUCUUAGCUGUGGUGUUGCAUAGGAUAACAAGAGGUACCUGCUAGUCAUAAAAUUGUUAGGUAUAAAGUCUUAAAGCAGUGAACUUUCAGAUUUUAAUGAAAAAUGGUGCAUAGACAUUUCCCUAGUAGUUUUGGGUGCUCAUUAUCCAUGCAGAAAACAAUUUUUGCUAAAUAAUUCCUCUUAUUCGGCUGUUUGCUUCCCUUUGAUCCUCACCAUUUCAAGUUUGAUUUGUGUUUAUACGGUCUGAAUCCAAUAUGAAGUUGAUGAAGUAUGGUAUACUGUACUUGUGGAUAUUGAUUCUUGCCAAUGAUUGAAAUCUUAGCAAUUAUAUCCACAUGCUUGGAUCGCGCCGGGUUUCUUAGGAUGCAGAGGUUUCUUAGGGUGCAGAUAACAGCAAGUUAUGAACCUGUUUUAUUUGAGCUAUCAUCUUUUUUUUUGUUAUCCUUUUAAUUUAUAUUGUAGUCUUUUUUUUUCAGUCGUCCGCACGAUUUUCAUUUGGACCUGUUACAUUUGAACGUGGACUUUAAUUAUCCCUGAUGUAUAUUGACCUUUUGUUUGUAAACAUAGCAAGAUUGUGAUAUAUUCUGAAGCUCGUUUCGAAGUGAUUCUACUCGUUAUCAUUGGCAAUGUUGACACUGUAUACAGAGUGUUCAGGAAGGGUGCAUUCUAUUGUUCAGAUGACGUGAACAAGUUCUAUUCAUCGAAACAAACAAGCACAGGCUCUGAAUCAACUGUUCAAGAUCAUUUCUCCAUAAUCUCCAAGCCUUAUACCACACUAAUUUCUUGUGAUCACGUCAACUCACAUUCAAUUACUGGUAAGCAGCACAGCACAUUUUACAACCCAAAAAAGGCACACCUAACCGGAAACUAAAGCAGCUCAACACCAUUAUGAAGAACCCAAAGUAAAAUAGUUGCACACCACGUUUGCAGCCAUGGUAUGCCAAACAAUACUAAGGAGCAAGUACAGCGGAUACAAUUCUAAGUUUCAUCGAAACAACAAAUGGAAAAGAGCACAGAAGUUCAUCGAAACCAAAAAAAAAAAAGGAAAAGAACAGAAGGGUUCGCUCGAUCUGCUAAAGGCAAUUUCGUCCUAACCACCUAUAAACUUAGACGACUAUAGUUCGACCCAAUGUCACUAUUAUAACAUGCAAAUACUCCGUGCAAGCAAACUAAACAUCAGAAGCUCAAUCAGCUCUGUAGAGUUGCUGUGCGAUGUGCCUGCC
rnacentral:lncRNA from 1 species